UACAGAGGGUGCGAGCGUUGUUCGGAAUUAUUGGGCGUAAAGGGCGCGUAGGCGGUGCGGUAAGUCACCUGUGAAAUCUCCUGGCUCAACUGGGAGCUUGCAGGCGAAACUGCCGUGCUGGAGUGUGGGAGAGGUGAGUGGAAUUCCCGGUGUAGCGGUGAAAUGCGCAGAUAUCAGGAGGAACACCGGUGGCGAAGGCGGGACUCUGGGCCGAUACUGACGCUGAGGAGCGAAAGCGUGGGGAGCGAACAGG
rnacentral:rRNA from 1 species